rnacentral:rRNA from 1 species
AUGGCUAGAUUGAACGCUGGCGGCAGGCCUAACACAUGCAAGGUCGAGCGGAAACGAGUUAUCUGAACCUUCGGGGAACGAUAACGGCGUCGAGCGGCGGACGGGUGAGUAAUGCCUAGGAAAUUGCCCUGAUGUGGGGGAUAACCAUUGGAAACGAUGGCUAAUACCGCAUAAUGCCUACGGGCCAAAGAGGGGGACCUUCGGGCCUCUCGCGUCAGGAUAUGCCUAGGUGGGAUUAGCUAGUUGGUGAGGUAAUGGCUCACCAAGGCGACGAUCCCUAGCUGGUCUGAGAGGAUGAUCAGCCACACUGGAACUGAGACACGGUCCAGACUCCUACGGGAGGCAGCAGUGGGGAAUAUUGCACAAUGGGCGCAAGCCUGAUGCAGCCAUGCCGCGUGUGUGAAGAAGGCCUUCGGGUUGUAAAGCACUUUCAGUCGUGAGGAAGGUAGUGUAGUUAAUAGCUSCUAUCUAUUUGACGUUAGCGACAGAAGAAGCACCGGCUAACUCCGUGCCAGCAGCCGCGGUAAU